AGGGCCUCUGGCAGCAGUGUCCAGCAUGGACUGCAGAUGGGCAGGCGCCCAGGGCAGGAGCCCAGUCCCAAGUCUCACUUCUCCUCCUGUCACCCACGGAGCUGACCGGCAGGAAGCAGAGACAGCGGGCUGGCCGGGGCCGGAGCCCCUGGUGCAGGGAUGCUUGGUGGGAGAGAGUGUCCCCAGGCUGGCCUGGUUGGCCCAGACCCUGGGGCCCAGUGCCGACUGCUUCCCAUGGUGGGACAGACCCCGAGAGGCGCCCAGCUGAGCCCAGCCGUGCUUCAGCACCGUGAGAGGGAACAAGA